GAUGAACGCUGGCGGCGUGCUUAACACAUGCAAGUCGAACGGAAAGGCCCAAGCUUGCUUGGGUACUCGAGUGGCGAACGGGUGAGUAACACGUGGGUGAUCUGCCCUGCACUUCGGGAUAAGCCUGGGAAACUGGGUCUAAUACCGGAUAGGACCACAUUUUGGAUGGUGUGGUGGAAAGUUUUUCGGUGUGGGAUGAGCUCGCGGCCUAUCAGCUUGUUGGUGGGGUACUGGCCUACCAAGGCGUCGACGGGUAGCCGGCCUGAGAGGGUGUACGGCCACAUUGGGACAGAGAGACGGCCCAGACUCCUAGGGGAGGAAGCAGUGGGGAAGAGUGCACAAUGGGCGAAAGGGUGAUGCAGCGACGCAGCGUGGGGGAUGACGGGAUUCGGGUUGUAGAGUCGGUUAGCUAGGGACGAAGCGAUAUGUGACGGUACAUGGAGAAGAAGAGCCGGCUAAAUACGUG
rnacentral:rRNA from 1 species